rnacentral:rRNA from 1 species
AUGCUGGUUGUUGAUUCUUUGGUGCCAGAUGGACCUGCAGACAAACAUCUGAAACCUGGUGACGUGCUGAUUCGCAUGAAUGGGGAGAUUGUAACGCAAUUUCUCACUAUGGAGUCCUUACUUGAUGAGAGUGUUGGCAGCGAGAUAAAUUUGCAGAUCGAAAGAGGUGGAACUCCUUUGACAGUAAAGCUGAAGUACUACAACACUGGUAGUUGUACGCAUAUGAUGGUGAUUCGCUCCGGCCAUUCCAGUUUUGGCGGUGGUGGUGGUGCUGCUCCUAUGAUGGUAGACUCGUCUGAUUUCCCUAGCCGCAUCCAUGGUGAUGAAGCUCGGCCUAGGCUAGAACCCCCUCCAAUUUGCUUAAGAUCACGGAAGUUUGGGUUGAUGGAGUGCUUGUAUUUAGUUUUUGUUUUGACCUUGUGA